CCUAAUUCUACUCUCUCUCAUCUUUCUGCUUCUGGAUUUGUCGACCUAGAGUUUCUGCUGAUUCUUUUUGGUUUUCAGUUGAUUUUUGGUUAUGAAUCAAAGGUACAUAUAUGGCGUACUUACAUUUUGGAUCUAAUGAAAGCUGAUGAUUCUCAGAGAAGUAUUGCAGAUGGUUUUUGCAGCUUCAUUUGGUAUAAUUUGGCAGUGCGUACAUGUUGCACUGCUGAAAAGUCACAGUGUACAUACGUUACACUGACGAGAAAUCAGUGUAUAAAUGCUGCACUCUGUUAAAAUCAAAGUCUACACUUCAUAGAACAUCACAGUAGCUGUUGGUUUUUGCUGCAUAACUAAUGAACAAAAAGAACGCUGGCCAAAUGUGAAAGUGAAGUUCUUUUUCCUACUAGUUGGUUUUCUUCGAGCCACACAAAUGAUUUUAUUACUCUCUUAUCUUUCUUUAAGUUUUGUCAACUAUUAUUUUGCACUAAGCAUAACCAAGUAAUCCGCUUGUAUUUUUUUAUACAUUUUCUGGUCAUCUCAGAAGGGGGAACGAACAUGACGUGCCUGUUGAUCUGGUUGCACAAAGUCAUUCGUACAAGCAGAGAUUGGUACACUUUACCAACACAGCUCUGUAAGACUCUUGCUUAAGUUUCUUUUCGCAUAGAGGAAUACCAAAAAAAAAAACUUUUAAACGUUUUAUUCCUUGUUAUACUUUUUUGCUCUUAUUACACUAGGACCAUCGUCUAUCCGUUGGACAAACCAUAAUGAUUUUAGUUCUAAUUUUGAAGUAUAUUCACUCUAUAAUUUACCCAAGUUGGACUAAGUGAAGUAUUGUUCAUUAUGGGGACACUGAUAGAAUUUUUUUUGGCUGAAUCUGUCUACUACCGUAUCAUGCUCUCACUUUAUUUUGUUUUUUCUUCCUGUACAUAUUGACUGCACAUUCAUUGUUAUUAUCAUCUACAAGCCUUUGGAAAAUUAUCAAGGAUCCUUUCUUGAAAUUAUAAAGAAACCAAGCAUGUGUAAUCUCUAAAUUAUAACUUGUUUAAAAUUGAGAUUAGUUUCUUCUCAUUGCAUAUGACACAAUUUGGUUUUAAAUAUGGUUGUCUGAAUGCUAUUUGAAGAUCCAAGGUACUUCAAGCUGAAAUUAUGAGUGUAGCCAAUAUGAUUUUAAAAUGUUCCCAUGCUUAAAAUCUUGUGAAAUUAUGAGUGUAGCCAAUAUGUACUGACAAUUGUGAAAGGAAAAAUUUCUUUCUUAGCACUAUGCAUAGGUUUUGGAUGGAAUUAUCCGUCUUUUCGAAUUCAAUCCAUGUUAUGAUGCUUAAAAUCCACUGAAGAUAUGCGUAUAGAAAAUAUGUACUGACAGUUGUGAGAUGAAGAAUUGCCUUACUUAGCAUUAUACAUAGGUUUAGAUGGAGUGUUCCCAAUGGAAUUAGUUGUCUUUUGUAAUGCAAUCCCUGUCAUGGUGCUUAAAAUCUGCUAAAAAUAUGAGUACAACGAAUAUGUAUUGACAGUUGUGAAAGGAAGAAUUUUGUUUCUUAGCAUUAUGCAUUGGUUGUAUGAACAAUACCGGUAUUGUACUAUGAAAUAGUGUAUAUUUCUAUCACAUUCUGUGAAUCGAGGAAUAAAAACUUUGAGUACAUAAAUGACGCACUCUGGAAAAUUCAGAGUGUAAAUUCUGCAAUCCAGAAAAAUCACAGUACAUGUUGCACUCUGGAAUAUCAGUGCAUAAACGAUGUACAAAUACCCUGCACCGUGGAUAACAAGGAUAUUAUUUUGUAAUUCUAGUCUCUGCUGAUGAUUGCAAUCAUGGGUUGGUAGUCGUCCUCGUAUCCACAACACAAGCCUUUUGGGAUGGUUGCUCAAAUAGUUCAAGGUGAAGGUGUACGUGCUUUUUAGAACAAGGUUAUUCCGAGUGUAGGAAUAGUCUUCAUGACUGAUCUGUAAUCUUUGUUGAUUCAUUUUUUACUAUAUAUUUUUUGUAUCUUAUGUACUAUUUUUCUUUGUAAUGAACUGUAUCAGAAGUUAUGGUUUGGAUUUGACAAA